rnacentral:lncRNA from 1 species
CUUGAACCAGGGAGUUGGAGGUUGCAGUGAGCCAAGAUCGCGCCACUGCACUCCAGCCUGACAACAAAGUGAGACUCCAUCUCAAAAAAUAAAAAAAAAAGAAAGAAAGGAAGAAAGAAAGAAAGAAAGAAAAAGAACGAAAAGAAAGAAAAAAUUGGCAAAAAUUAGUUUGUUAAUAUCAAAUGUAAAGCUAUGGGAAAUAAGUAGCCCCCCCCAAAUUUAAACAUUACAUGUCUAAUGACCAGUUUUAUUUCUUAUUAUUAUACACUCAGAUUUAAUACCACGGUUAAGAACAAGAGGAAUAAACAGAGAUUUUCAUGGCAAUAUUGUUUAUUAUAAAAAAUUUGAAAACAAAUUAUAUUUCCAUCAUUGGGAAAAUAACUAAACUACAAAUAAAUUGCAUGCAUAGUAUAGCAUACACUAUAUAAGGUUAAAAAGUGACACAGAAAAGUCUCCAAAGGGAUUAUGAUGGUGAGAGAAGGCAGUAGGAAGCAAUUAUCAUAAUAAAGCAUUUAGCAUGAUGAAGUAUCCAUCAGAAACACAAACACACACAGCAACACUGUACACUUCUCUAAAUAGUUGCUUGUAUGAGUACAUGUGUAUUUAACACAUUAAAAAGCCUAAAAAUAUACCUGUUAAAUGAUAAUCUGGGAUAAAAAGAGGUAUUACAUGUAGUAGUCAAAAAGCAUUUAACCUUAACCUAUAAUAUUUCAUUUUUUAUCAGUGACAAUGCAUUCUACAUUGCUUGUGUAAUUCUAUAAAUAUUACUAUACAAACCAGUGCUAAAAUGAAUUAUAAUAUGGGAAUAAGCAUGCAUAUGGGGUCUGUAUAUGCAUGCUAGGAGGCCACUUAGUGGAAUGUAGUGGGUGCCUCUUAUUUUUGUACACAGCAUCCCUUUCUCCUUUUCCAGUUAAUAGGACAAUUAAAUUCCUUUUUAUAGUUUUAUUUUGCAUAAACUAAUUCAAAUUGGGUUUGUGUCAUUUGUAACUGAACAAGUCCUUAUUUUCUAACACAUUUUCCGUUUUGUUGUCAUUGUGUUUUAAAAAUGUAAAAACAGCACAUUACUAUGCAACUUCCAGUUUAUCUUGAAGAAAUGAGUCACCACCCAAGUAUGGAGCAUGAGCUUUAUCUCACGGGAUUGGAAAGGCAGACUGGGAAAGGAAUGACACUUUGGAAAUUUACUUUGAGAAAUGUCUGUAUUAUUAAACAGAAUAAGGUUUUCAUUUCUGUAUUCUUUCAGCAAAGCUACUAAUCUGAGCAACGUGGAAUUAAAAUUGUAGACUAAUAAAAGGGUGAAGCACAAAGGAGAUUCUUGCAAGAUUUGGAAGACCUAGGGAAGGAAGUGACAUUUUAUGGCUGACCUAUGCUGUUGCUGAUCUGCUGCAUCAUUUCAAUGGCAUAAAGCAGCAUCUAGAUCUGCGGUUGUUUAGCCUUUUCUGGAUUCAUCUUCAGUUUUUUGACCCCUGAGCCAGACUCAGAGUUCACCUCCUCCAGGAAGCCUUCCUUGAGACGCCAUUGCUCACCUGGCUCUACUUGCUUGACCAGAAGUACUUUAAAGAUUAUAUCUUUACAUUUUGUAUCUGCAGGACUUGAAAUAUAAUGAACAUUCCAGACAUAAUUGAUGAAUAAAAUAACAUCCAAUCCCUUCAUUUUAUAGAUUGGUUGAUGAAGACCUUGGACUUUUGGCCAAGAUUGAACAUCUACAGUGGAGAUUAUUUAGUGCUGUUUUCUAUUCACAGGCCUAGCCACUCCAACCUGUCUGUUGUCUUUACAUCAUAGGACUUUACCCAAGGUGCACUCUAUAAUACAUGCCAGUCCAAAUAUACAUUCUGACAGACAAUCUAGCUGCCCACAUCUGUCAGAUGGCUCUUUCUGUGACAACUGAGGAUAAGAAUUUUUUUCUUUAAGAAUUAGAGCUAAAUAUUAUGAAAUAUAAUCUAGACUUCAAGAAACUUUGACAGUUACCUGUAUCACCGUCUGUGGAUGAAUAAAAAUCUCUUUGACAUCUAAGACAAAAUGGCCAUUCACCAUCUAUCUGAAAAUUCUAGUGAGGACAGCCAUACUUUCUGAGGCAUGUUGAAUGGCUAACAUUUUAGAAUUCUUCCUUACAUUGGCUGAAAUAUGACUGAAGUUUCACAGAUUUACCCUUAUUCCUCAUGAUAAAAGUACAGAAGUUUGUUAAGUGUCCUUGGUGACAGGUUGGUCAAGAUUGGACCUUCCAUAGGAUUACUUAGUCUCACAUCCCCUCAUGGCUACGGAUCUCAUAAGGAUGGGUCUGAACAUCAAAAAUAUCACUGUUUUUAUUCAGGUACUGACAGCGCCAUAUAAAUAUGGCUUAAAGCAUGGCUAUAAGAAGAGUGAAUAUUCUAAUGACCUGUCUUGAGUGAAGCUGAUGAGACUGUAUUUUGAGUCUUACUGUACCUGUUAAGGCUAUGCAGCGUAUUUAGAGAGAAAUGUGGAAUUUGUUAUAUAAAGGUAAGUUUAAAUAGGGUGCUAAUAUCUAUGAAGGUCAACUUUGUUAAUUCAACACAAAUAAAAAUCCAAGCCAUGGUCAUUCAGCACACAUAAAGUCUAAGUAAUUUCAAAUAAAAUUACUGCUUGGCUGAAUGCUUAAGCAAUUUUGGAUUGCUGGAGUGAAUCAAAGAAUACUCAUAAUGUAAGCUCAUUAGAUUCACAGAGAGAUAUGCUGAUUUAAUUCAAGUGUUCUGCUGUCCAUUUAAACUUCACCUUCUUUUCUUACUUUGGAUUACUAGAUGUUUUUGUUAAUCUUAUUUGACAAGCUGCAUCUAGUCUUAUGAAUUUAACCUUUUUGUGAAUUGUCUUUGCUAUUAAAAAUUCUGUAACUGUCAAUCACUUGAAUCAUGUGGAGUUAUGAAAAAUGUCUGAUCCUUGAAUGUAUAUCUUUUCUCUCUCCAUCUGUAAUAUCUUACUAUGUACAGAAUAAAUUAGAAACUUAUCUGUGAUGUUAAUAUUUCUGAUAGCUUAAAUAUGUCACUUUACAUACGAUUUAUAUGUAAAAUGAUUUCUAAAUAUGAUAAAAUGUAUCCCAGACUUAAUAGAGGUUUAGCUGAUAUUUUGGCUCAGCUUUUAUUUUUUUAAUUAAUUAAUUAAUUAAUUAAUUAAUUAAUUUGUUUUUGAGACAGAGUCUUGCUCUGUCACCAGGCUGGAGUGCAGUGGCACGAUCUCAGCUCACUGCAACCUCCACCUCUUGGGUUCAAGCGAUUCCCCUGCCUUAGCCUCCCAAGUAGCUGGGAUUACAGGCAUGCACCACCACGCCUGGCAAAUUUUUUGUAUUUUAGUAGAGACGGGGUUUCACCAUGUUGGCCAAGACACUCUCGAUCUCCUGACCUCGUGAUCCACCCACCUCGGACUCUCAAAGUGCUGAGAUUACAGGCGUGAGCCACCACGCCCGGCCAGCUUUUAUUUUAUAGUUUGGUGUUUCUAUGGGAGAUUUAGGGGGAAACCUUAGUUUCUUCUUUUGUCACAUAAUGUUUCCCGCCAUAUAGGAAAAGAUAAUAUUUUAAAAAAUUACAAAAUUACCCUAAAAAGGAGUUCCCUUUUCUUAAGAUACAUACAAGUUUUCACUCAGAAAAGUUGAAUAUUUUAUAUAUAUCUCCGGGAUUUUAGAUUUUUCACUUCAUGGACUGCAUGAUAAAUCUCAUUAAAUCCAUUUGAGAAAAGGUCUGUUCCUCUGUUUAAGAAUUGUUUGAAGACUUUGCAGGAAAUGAUAGUGUGGUAGUAGAUAAAUUCUAUCCCCUGCUUCACCUCUAACCACUGCACUCUUAGACCACGGACAACUUAUAAAAAUAAACUAUCACGUUGUAUUCAAUUAUUCAGGCAAGUGGAGGUUGUAAACCACCCUCUCCCUAAUUUCUCUGCCUCCAACAUAUUAAAACUACCACAUCUUGGCUCCAAGGAUUCAUGGACUGUUGAAUUUGCCCCUACCAAGCAGAGAUGGUGGACAGCAUUAUGAAUAAUAGCUGAUUUUAUUUUAAGUGGGAAUAAAGAGAACUAUAAAAAUCCUUUAACUGUUCCCUCCUACUUAUUAGUGUCUCAAAAUUUUUGACUCAUAACACAUAGAAAAAUCACAAGAUUUGCUUCAAAACAAAAAUAUUAAAAUAUUAAAACCCCAAGUGCAUGGUUUUCUAUAACGUAAUUCAGUUAUUGUAAACUCUGCUUUGUCUCAUAGGAAUACAGUUAUUCACUAAGAACCUUCAGAAGAAAGGAAAAAUAAACAUAUAAAUGUUAAGAUUUGUCCCAUUUCAUACCUCAUCUAGCAUGGUUUUUUUUCAAAUUACUACAUACAUGGCCCUUUUUUUUGCUAGAACUCUUUCCCCUGGAGACUGAAUUGUAGAGAUAACACAGAAUGGAAUGAUUUUUAUUUUAUAAUUAAAGACAGCUUCUUGGGUGUUAUAAUAAUGGUAAAAUAUAGACUGUGUCUAAAGCAAAAUACAGCAAACAAAUGCAAUAUUGGGGCUAUCUGGGCUUAAAAUGCAUUUUCUAUUGUAAUUACCUAACCAUUUCAGCAAAAAAGGGAAUUUUAUUAAGAUUUGAGUUAACUCAUUUAAUCUGGCCAUCUAUCGUUGUCAUUUUAAAUAUCCAUUUCAUUUUGAGUAUUUGGGCACACAUUUUGUUUAUAGGUACAUGGGAAAAUCUAGCACAUAAUUAAUAUAUUAAACUGGCUGUCUUUAUAUCACAACAUAGUCUAUUUAAUCUAUUAUGUUGUUUAACCAAAACCAAACUAUAAAAAGCAAGCAUGGAUAUAGUAGAUUUUUUCUCAGAAAAAAAGCUUGACUAUUAUUUUUAUGAAAUUGCAAAGAAUUACAAUAUUCUUUCACACUGCGUUUCAAGAAAAUGAGCAAAGGAUAUUUAUAGACAUGUUUUUGAUAGAUACCCCAGUGACAACGGAAGUCACUUUUAAAUUAUAAGGUAAAAUGUGAAACUAAUAGAUAAAAUUUGACAUGUUAAGAGUUGCAUCUUCCUCAAAUAUAAAGAUAAGAACCAAUGUAGUUUGAAAAUAGCAAAAGCGCUUUCACUAUCCUAUGGACAGAUAUUUUGGAAAACCUAUUACUUUUACCAAUUAAAUUUAAAACUGCACUGCCUGGUUGUUUCUUUGUUUAUAUAUUUGUAUUCCAUCUUAUUUUAAUAAAGUUUUAAGAGGAA